UACGAAGGAUCCUAGCGUUGUCCGGAUUUACUGGGUUUAAAGGGUGCGUAGGCGGCCUUUUAAGUCAGUGGUGAAAGCCUGCAGCUUAACUGUAGAAUUGCCAUUGAAACUGAUUGUCUCGAGUGCGGUUGAGGUCACUGGAAUAUAUCAUGUAGCGGUGAAAUGCUUAGAUAUGAUAUAGAACACCAAUUGCGAAGGCAGGUGACUAAGCCGUAACUGACGCUGAUGCACGAAAGUGUGGGGAUCAAACAGG
rnacentral:rRNA from 1 species